rnacentral:rRNA from 1 species
GAUGAACGCUGGCGGCGUGCUUAACACAUGCAAGUCGAACGAUGAAGCCCAGCUUGCUGGGUGGAUUAGUGGCGAACGGGUGAGUAACACGUGAGUAACCUGCCCUUAACUCUGGGAUAAGCCUGGGAAACUGGGUCUAAUACCGGAUAGGAGCGUCCACCGCAUGGUGGGUGUUGGAAAGAUGUAUCGGUUUUGGAUGGACUCGCGACCUAUCAGCUUGUUGGUGAGGUAAUGGCUCACCAAGGCGACGACGGGUAGCCGGCCUGAGAGGGUGACCGGCCACACUGGGACUGAGACACGGCCCAGACUCCUACGGGAGGCAGCAGUGGGGAAUAUUGCACAAUGGGCGCAAGCCUGAUGCAGCGACGCCGCGUGAGGGAUGACGGCCUUCGGGUUGUAAACCUCUUUCAGUAGGGAAGAAGCGAAAGUGACGGUACCUGCAGAAGAAGCACCGGCUAACUACGUG